rfam:Gossypium hirsutum cultivar TM-1 chromosome 2, whole genome shotgun sequence
UGUUAAAAUUUUCAUCCAUUUCUACUAUUAAAAACUGGUGUAACUGACGAAAUAACCAGAUAGUUACAUGUAGCGUGCCAUGUAUACCUCAUGCUGAUGUAUAGGGACCAAUUUUUAAUAGCAAAAAUGGAUGGAAUUUUUAACA